AUUGAACGCUGGCGGCAUGCCUAACACAUGCGAGUCGAACGGCAGCGCGUUGUAGGGUAACCUAUAAUGGCGGCGAGUGGCGUACGGGUGAGUAAUGCGUAGGAAUCUAUACUAAAGUCGAGGAUAGUUUGUGGAAACACAUGGUAAUACUGGAUGUGCCUGAAAAGGUAAAGCUGGGGAUCUUUAGACCUGGCGUUUUAGGGUGAGCUUACGUUAGAUUAGUUAGUUGGUAGGGCAAAAGCCUACCAAGACAGAGAUCUAUAGCUGUUUUGAGAGGAAGAACAGCCACACUGGGACUGAGACACGGCCCAGACUCUUGCGGGAGGCAGCAGUGGGGAAUCGUGGACAGUGGGCGAAAGCCUGAUCCAGCAAUGCCGCGUGUGUGAAGAAGGCCUUCGGGUUGUAAAGCACUUUCAGUGGGGAGGAGGUUAACUUUUUUUAAUAGAAAAAGUUGAUGACGUUACCCAAAGAAGAAGCACCGGCUAACUCUGUGCCAGCAGCCGCAGUAACAC
rnacentral:rRNA from 1 species